rnacentral:rRNA from 1 species
AUGCUGGAAUGCUCUGUAAUCGAAAGUUCCGACGCCUUAGGAUGGAUCUGCGGCCGAUUAGGUUGUUGUCGGGGUAAUGGCCCAACAAGCCAGUGAUCGGUACGGGUUGUGGGAGCAAGAGCCCGGAGUUGGAUUCUGAGACACGAAUCCAGGCCCUACGGGGCGCAGCAGGCGCGAAAACUUUACAAUGCGGGCAACCGUGAUAAGGGAACCUCGAGUGCCUGUAUAUGCAGGCUGUCCAGGUGUCUAAAACACACCUGAAGAAAGGGCCGGGCAAGACCGGUGCCAGCCGCCGCGGUAAUACCGGCGGCUCGAGUGGUGGCCACUUUUAUUGGGCUUAAAGCGUUCGUAGCUGGGUUGUUAAGUCUCUUGGGAAAUCUGGCGGCUUAACCGUCAGGCGUCUAAGGGAUACUGGCAAUCUUGGAACCGGGAGAGGUGAGGGGUACUUCGGGGGUAGGAGUGAAAUCCUGUAAUCCUCGAGGGACCACCUGUGGCGAAGGCGCCUCACCAGAACGGCUUCGACAGUGAGGGACGAAAGCUGGGGGAGCAAACCGGAUUAGAUACCCGGGUAGUCCCAGCCGUAAACGAUGCGCGUUAGGUGUAUCGGUGACCACGAGUCACCGAGGUGCCGAAGGGAAACCGUGAAACGUGCCGCCUGGGAAGUACGGUCGCAAGGGCUGAAACUUAAAUGGAAUUGGCGGGGGAGCACCACAACGGGUGGAGCCUGCGGUUUAAUUGGACUCAACGCCGGAAAUCUCACCGGAUAAGACAGCUGAAUGAUUUGCCGGGCUGAAGACUCUGCAUGACUAGCUGAGAGGAGGUGCAUGGCCGGUCGUCAGUUC